UACAGAGGGUGCAAGCGUUAAUCGGAAUUACUGGGCGUAAAGCGCGCGUAGGCGGGAGGCCAAGUCCGCUGUGAAAUCGCCCGGCUCAACUGGGCGCGGUCGGUGGAAACUGGUCACCUGGAGGACGGUAGAGGCGAGUGGAAUUCCCGGUGUAGUGGUGAAAUGCGUAGAGAUCGGGAGGAACACCAGUGGCGAAGGCGGCUCGCUGGGCCGGCCCUGACGCUGAGGCGCGAAGGCGUGGGGAGCGAACGGG
rnacentral:rRNA from 1 species